ACGACCCGUGCGGGAGAGCUCCGGUGAAUGCAGCCGGGCACCGAAGGAGCAAGCCUCCCCGUCAAUCUCUCAGGUACCGCGUACCGCGCAGGUCAG
rnacentral:ncRNA from 2 species